rnacentral:rRNA from 1 species
AAUAUUGGACAAUGGGGCCAACCCUGAUCAAGCAUUCCCGCGUUUUUAAAAAAGGCCUUCGGUUUUUAAGGCAUUUUAAGUUGGGAGGAAGGGCUUUAGGCUAAUCCCCGGAGCUUUUGACUUUACCAACAGAAUAGCCACAGCCUAACUCUGUGCGACAAGCCGCGGUAAUACAGAGGGUGCAAGCGUUAAUCGGAAUUACUGGGCGUAAAGCGCGCGUAGGUGGUUCAGUAAGAUGGGUGUGAAAUCCCCGGGCUUAACCUGGGAACUGCUUUCAUAACUGCUGAGCUAGAGUACGGUAGAGGGUAGUGGAAUUUCCUGUGUAGCGGUGAAAUGCGUAGAUAUAGGAAGGAACACCAGUGGCGAAGGCGACUACCUGGACUGAUACUGACACUGAGGUGCGAAAGCGUGGGGAGCAAACA